GUUGACCUCGGAUCAGGUAGGGAUACCCGCUGAACUUAAGCAUAUCAAUAAGCGGAGGAAAAGAAACCAACAGGGAUUGCCCUAGUAACGGCGAGUGAAGCGGCAACAGCUCAAAUUUGAAAUCUGGCGCAAGCCCGAGUUGUAAUUUGUAGAGGAUGCUUCUAGGCAGCGGCCGUUCUAAGUUCCUUGGAACAGGACGUCAUAGAGGGUGAGAAUCCCGUAUGUGACCGGCACGCACCUUGUACGUAGCUCCUUCGACGAGUCGAGUUGUUUGGGAAUGCAGCUCUAAAUGGGAGGUAAAUUUCUUCUAAAGCUAAAUACCGGCUGGAGACCGAUAGCGCACAAGUAGAGUGAUCGAAAGAUGAAAAGCACUUUGGAAAGAGAGUUAAAAAGCACGUGAAAUUGUUGAAAGGGAAGCGCCUGCAACCAGACUUCGCGGCAGUGUUCCGCCGGUCUUCUGACCGGUCUAUUCUCUGUCGCGAGGCCAUCAUCGUCUGGGGCCGCCGGAUAAGACUGGAGGAAUGUAGCUCCCCUCGGGGAGUGUUAUAGCUUCCAGUGAUGCGGCGUGUCUCGGGCGAGGUCCGCGCUUCGGCAAGGAUGAUGGCGUAAUGGUUGUCGGCGGCCCGUCUUGAAACACGGACCAAGGAGUCUAACAUCUAUGCGAGUGUUCGGGUGUCAAACCCCUACGCGUAAUGAAAGUGAACGGAGGUGGGAACUUUUUGUGCACCAUCGACCGAUCCUGAUGUCCUCGGAUGGAUUUGAGUAAGAGCAUAGCUGUUGGGACCCGAAAGAUGGUGAACUAUGCCUGAAUAGGGUGAAGCCAGAGGAAACUCUGGUGGAGGCUCGCAGCGGUUCUGACGUGCAAAUCGAUCGUCAAAUUUGGGUAUAGGGGCGAAAGACUAAUCGAACCAUCUAGUAGCUGGUUCCUGCCGAAG
rnacentral:rRNA from 1 species